rnacentral:tRNA from 1 species
GCGCUCAUAGCUCAGUUGGAUAGAGCAACUGCCUUCUAAGCAGUAGGUCGUGAGUUCGAGUCUCGCUGAGCGCA